AGUUUUUUUUUAAUUGGGUUGUGUCAUUUUUCUCCUUCUCACACAUGCUCACAUCCAUCCCAUAUCCUUCUCUUCUUCUUCCUCUAUCCAUCUAAAAAGAGGGAAACAAAAAAAAAAAAAAGAAAAAAAAAAGAAAAAACCCAGAAUCAGAUUAAGAGAGAUUCUCAAAAAAUUUCCAGUCUUUUUGUGUUUCUCUUGCAGUAAUCAUUGAUUUUGUUGUAAAUUUGAAGACCCUUUUUACCGAUCUCUGUUUGUGUGUUCAAAGAAGCUAAGUCUAUUUAUUGUCGCCAUGGUCCUCAUGGGUCAGAAUUGAUUGUUCACGAAAGUUUUCUUCUCUUCCCCUUUAUUCUCGUGCCGAGUAUGAAUUUGUGUUAGUUUCUUGGAGCUGGGGCCAUGGUUAGUGGCCAUAUCUUUCCACUUAAAGAAGUUGAAUUUAGCUUGUUCCUAUAGUUGAUUCUAGUCUUGGAAAUCUAGAAGGAUUUCGAAGGGAAAGUUUCAAGGAUCUGAUUGCAGCAUGGGUUACAUAUGUGAUUUCUGUGCGCAACAAAGGUCGAUUGUGUAUUGUCGAUCUGAUGCUGCAGCUUUGUGCUUAUCUUGUGACCGAAAUGUUCACUCUGCUAAUGCCUUGUCAAGGCGCCACUCGAGAACAUUGUUGUGUGACCGGUGCCAUUCACAAGCAGCAUUUGUUAGAUGUCCUGAAGAGAACAUUUCACUUUGUCAAAAUUGUGACUAUAUGGGGCAUAGCUCAUCUGCCUCCAUUUCGUCUCGAAAGAGGCAACCAAUCAAUUGUUACUCAGGCUGCCCGACGGCUGCAGAGCUCUCAUCUAUCUGGUCAUUUGUUUUAGAUCUCCCUUCUGGUAGCGACGCUUGUGAGCAAGAAUUAGGAUUGAUGAGCAUUGCCGAAAAUAGUGCUGUAAAUGCCUGGGGCCCAAAUGAUAAAGCUGGUCAAAAUGUUUCUGGUGUAGAUGAAACCAAUGAGUUCUCAAGUGUGGAUAAAUCAAUUUGGUAUGGAUCGUCUUCAAUGCCUCACAUUAUGGACCAACCGAUUACUAUGGAUGCAACUUCACCCAAGUUGCACUAUCCUGGAAGAAAAGGUCCUGAAAUCGAUAUCGAAGAUGAUCUAUAUGAAAGUUUGAAUAUGGAUGAAGAUAGUUUGAAUAUUGAAAACUAUGAAGAACUAUUUGGUGUGUCUCUCAGUUAUUCUGAAGAACUGCUAGAGAAUGGUGGUAUUGAUAGCUUGUUCAGGAUGAAAAACUUAUCUGCCGCUAAAUCUGGCUGCCCUGGUGGGGCUGCUGCAGAGGGGGCAUCAGUCAGUUUUGUUAAUAAUGUAAUGCAGCCUGCAAACAGUAAUGCAGCAUCGGCAGAUUCUGUUAUGAGUGCGAAGACUGAACCAGUUCUUUGUUAUAACAAUAAGCAAGAGCACUCCGGCCUAUCGUUCUCUGGCAUGACUGGAGAGAGUAGUGCAGGAGAACAUCAAGACUGUGGAGCUUCAUCAAUGCUUCUAAUGGGAGAGCCGCCAUGGUGUUCUAUGGCCACUGAGACUUCCUUCCAGUCAUCUAAUCGUAGCGAUGCUGUAAUGCGCUAUAAGGAAAAGAAGAAAGCUCGAAAGUUUGAAAAGAAGGUGAGGUAUGCCUCUCGCAAAGUUAGGGCUGAUACUCGAAGACGUGUCAAGGGGCGCUUUGUCAAAGCCGGAGAAGCUUAUGACUAUGAUCCAUUGAGUCAAACCAGAAGCUACUGAAAGUUCAAGUUUAGGAUUUCAAUGAACACGAAAAAGAAAAAAAAAGGAUGUGGCUUAAGGGUUCGACAUUGUACUCUAGUGUAUGGAUAGAUAUUGAUAUAUCAGUGUCGGACAGGAAGUAUAAUCAUAUACAAAGGAACCUGAGUUUUCAUCAGGUAGAUGUACAAAAGCCAGGUCUAAUAGCUUUAUCGGUUUAACUCGAGGGGCCGAAAAAUCUGUAUCCAUUACCACCUAAAACGAACAAAGGAUCGCAAAUAUUGGCCUCCCAGACAAUGUACAUUUCCGAGCUCUAAGCAACGGGUAUAGUUUUCUUGGCUAAUCAAUGCAGCUUCAGCUCCUUUGCUAUGUACUUAAAAUUUGAAAAAAAAAAAAAAAAGACCAUACUGAUCUGAUCAUUGGCUGGCAAUGGCUGUGUUCUCAACAUGGAAGUACCUCUUCCUCCUCCUUGCUUUUGGCUACUUGACAAACAUGGCUGCACCAAAUUCACAGUUUCCAGAGCUCGUAAGUUCGAUGUGCAGGACAUGGCGGUUGCAUUGGAAAGUCCAAAAGGCAUAUAACCAAAUCAAGCAUCUAUACGCACAAUGUUAUUUUUGGCUCAUCUACUACUUUCACAAUACAAAUCAUGUUUCAAUAUGGAAUUCACUACAUUUCCCUUCUUUUUAUUUUUUUGUCAAAUUGGAUGGAAGAUGAGAUUGAGAGUAUGACAUAGCCCAAACCUCUUGCAUACUUUUAACCCCUUGUGAUGGUUGACUUCAACAUAUUCUGAAAAGAUGAGAAUGUUAUAUUCUUUUGAUAGGGUAAAAGAGGACCACUUUGUUUGGAUUCUUUUUUAAUCAUCUUUUCAUUAUUAUGAACGAUUUAGACCUUACCUGGUGAUGGAUUAAGAUUCUUUCUUUCAAUAUCACUUUUCUAUUUGGUUA